ACUAAUCGAGUAAUUACACUAAGCAUUAGUUAAAUUUUGAAAAAUUAUCAUUGAUCGAUAUAUGCAAAAAUUUUCUUUAAAAAACAUUUUUUUAUUGCUCAAUGUCAAUAAUUACGUUGUGGUUGGAUAUACAUUGUUCUGUUAUGUCAUUGCGUUUUAUAGAAACUGUAAUUUUUUUUACUAGACAACAAUUUGAGAGGCAUAAAUUUAAUACGAAUUCAAUUGUAAAUAUUUGACUGCUUUCACAGAAGAAAUCGGGCUUAGUAACCUGCACCUGCCUUCCGCUUUAAAGAUGUUGUUACGAACUGUUUGUUUUCAUAUUUGUGGCAGUGCCACUAGCUCAGGCUUUUCCCAGGGCGGAGUUUCCGCCCUGCCACACAGCUCGCAACAUAAACAUCGAUAACUAUAAACGUCUCACAACUCUACACAACGAAGGCAUUAAAUCUUACAAAUUGACGAGAACUUUAAGUUUUUUUGGCCGCAGAUGCUUUGGCCAUGCGUGCCCACCAAACCUAGGAUGCCCGGACGAUUUAACGGACAUCACCCAUUAUUUAUACGUCGGGGUCACUCCAGACGACAACGACGGCUCCAUCUCCCCCACAGUGAACACUCACUCAACCAUUCCGGCUGAAACGGUCAAAGCGACAAGUCUAGGAAGCCUUCGAGAUUUACAAGACACCGCGGAAACUUGGCCCGCAAUUGGCGGUGCUUUUAAUGACGGCACUGAAACGGACGUAUUUACUGACCUUGACUCUAGGAUAGGCUAUUAGUAUAUGGAUAAUGUUAUCGGACGGAAGAACCCUAAUUUUAGAGGCUUCUAAUAAACUAACUAUUGGGGUGUCUUGUUCAAUAA